UUUGUGCUGAAUUAAGGCCUCUGGUGAUCUCCCUCAUCAGAGGCCUUAAUUCGGGCAAAAUAUCCAACCACACUGAGCCGUUAACUUUGACAUGCUGGCCACAUUACAGUAUUGGUAUAUGGUGAGAAACUGGGACAGUCUGACUGUCAAGAGCUGAAACCUGUAGAGAAGGGAGUUGCUGGGUAGUAACAGAGCCCAUGUUGGUAGCCUAUGACUGGCUGCUGCAGCUGAAUGACAGCCAGCUGUCCACCAAUCAGAUGCAAGUACAGAGGGAAGCCACUGACAGCUGUUCCUGUGUAGCUGCUGGCAGUGAGCUGAGGACUCACUCUCCACACCGGCUCACCAGUUGAAUCUUGGACAGAUAACAAUGAAAUUUAAGGUGCUGCAAACUCCAGCAGGUCAACCGACACCUCCAAAUUCGCUACACCUCUCUGUUCCUCCAUGGGCCUGCAGAUAACAAGGCACCCGUUGAGCUUCCGUAUGAUACAAAGCGGGGGUAUUUCAUGAUUAGGGGAGUUGGGUCCAGCGGAUUGCUUCCUCCAGCCCCUCCAGUUCUGACAGAGGCUCUCGGCCUCUGAGAUGAAGGAGCACAGAGAGUCUUCUUCAAACCGGUCCGAGUCUUCGAAGGAGAACCUCUCCCCAUCCUCCCACUCGGCAAACAUCAGUUCCAUUACAUCAACUUUUUAACGGCCAGGAGUCCAGGGUACUGCAACCUGAGGCCACGGCCUUUCUUCAGAGCAGGAAUGAAGGGGAAACCCGCCGGACAGUGUCCAACAGUCGGGGAGAAUCAGAGUCUGAAGACUGGGGGAGGGGAGGCCACUAGCAACCAAAACACAGCUGAGAGGCUUACCGCUGGGCCGCACAGCUACAUAAUACAACUGGCCAUGAAGUGAUCUCCUCUAAAUGUUCUGUAGGGAAAUAUUCAAAAAAACUACGAUUAAAAAGUAUCUUCAGGUAAAUUCUUCUUUGUUACGAUGUGGUUUUUUUUUAAACUUAUAUAAAGCAAACAACUAGUUAUUUAGAUGUAUCGCAGCUCUGUCCAUGCUGCCAGGCUGAGCAGUGGCUCCAGCCUGUGUGAACUGAAGGCCCUGUGCUGUUCACUGACACUACACACUCAGCCAAGUGU